rnacentral:rRNA from 1 species
AUUGAACGCUGGCGGCAUGCUUUACACAUGCAAGUCGAACGGUAACAGGCCUUCGGGUGCUGACGAGUGGCGAACGGGUGAGUAAUGCAUCGGAACGUACCCAGAGGUGGGGGAUAACGCAGCGAAAGCUGUGCUAAUACCGCAUGUGAUCUGAGGAUGAAAGCGGGGGACCGCGCAGCAAUGUUUGGCCUCGCGCCUUUGGAGCGGCCGAUGUCGGAUUAGCUAGUUGGUGGGGUAAAGGCCUACCAAGGCGACGAUCCGUAGCUGGUCUGAGAGGACGAACAGACACACUGGGACUGAGACACGGCCCAGACUCCUAAGGGAGGCAGCAGUGGGGAAUUUUGGACAAUGGGCGAAAGCGUGAUCCAGCAAAGCCGCGUGCGGGAAGAAGGCCUUAGGGUUGUAAACCGCUUUUGGCAGGAACGAAACGGUGUCCGCUAAUACCGGGCGCUAAUGACGGUACCUGCAGAAUAAGCACCGGCUAACUACGUG